UUGUUGUCCCCCCCCAGGCUGAGCUGUUCACGCUCCUCCCCGACUUCUCUGUGCUCCCCAUGGAGACCCCCCCCCAGGUGGGGGCUGUGGGGGGGGCAGGAGAUGAAGCCCCCCCCCCAUUGACCCCCAACGUCCAGCUCCAGCCGCCACCCCCGUAUCUGCUGAGCGCGGCCCGGAGGGCAGAGCUGCUGCGGGGUGACCCCGUACCCGCCCCCAAUGAGGACCCCGAGGAUCCCGACGACGACCUGGACGUGUGAUUGGUUAUUAUGGGGUUAUUAUAGGGCCUAUAGGAGCCUGAGAUGUUCUUAUAGGGCCCAUAGAAACCUGGGCUGUUAUUGUAGGGUCUGCAUUAACCCGGGCUGUUAUUGUGGGGCCUACACAACCAGGGGCAGCCAUUAAACUUUGCUGCUGCGAUCA